CAGUCCCAACUGGUUACUCAGUUCACCUGCCUUAGAAAUUUAAAAGCUGUUAUAAAUCUGUGCUGUGCUUUUACAUUUUAUUUUAUUUUUUUAUGGCUGCGUCUGUGGCAUAUGGCAGUUCCUGGACUGCGAUGUACACCAUGGCUGCCUCAAUGCCCAAUCCUUAAUCCACUGUGCUAGGCAGGGAUUGAAUUCUCACCACUGCAUAAACAACACUGGAUUCUUAACCCACUGUGCUACAGUGCUAUGCUUUUAGAUAAGCAAGUAGUUUUUUUUUUUUUCCUAGGGCUGCACCCGCGGUAUGGAGGUUUCCAGGCUAGGGGUCCAAUCGGAGCUGUAGUCACCAACCUACACCAGAGCCACAGCAAUGCGUCACAGAUGUGGCUUUGAUCUGGUGUUGUUGUGGCUAUGGUGUAGGCCAGCAGCUGUAGCUCUGAUUAGACCCCAGCCCGGGAACCUCCAUGUGCUGUGGGUGGGGCCCUAAAAAGCAAAAAAAAAAAUAAAAAAAAAGAAAGAAAAAAGAAAUGGGGUGGGGAGCAGGGUAGAAGAGGGGAUGAAUGUAGGAAGAACAAAGAUGAAUGAAUACUUCAGUAAUUAUUUUGCUGCAGAUAGAAGCUGCUUGGAUAGUAAAACGCUGUCCUCUCUCAGACAUAUAGAUUAAACUUGUGACUCAUUUUAUGCCAGGGCGUUCCUCCAAAACAUAUUAUUUUACUCCUUUUAAGUAACUGACAGUUUUCAUUGGCAAUACACAAUUACAACUUUUACAGUCCAGGCAGUAUUUUAGGAAGCUUAAAGCUUGGGUUGUGGAGUCAGAACCCACCAGUGGUGGGACAUUCAGAAAGGAAUGACCAGGAUUUUCAGCUUCAUGGAGGGGAGGGCCCUGCAAGGCUCCAUCCCUCCACUCAAGAUGGUCAGGAGGACACACAUCGCUCCCCAACAGCUCCAUGAAGCCGGAGAUCACAUGGGCUUGAUCACAGCUUAGUUCUCAGACCUAGCAAGGAGCAGGGCACAGCAGGUACCUCGCAGUGUUUAUUAAGUGAAUGAACACCGUGUAGGACGGUAAGUAUCUCGUGUAUGAAUCACUCAGCACUGCAAUAUUAUUUUAUCCCCAGGUGGAAGACAAGAUGGUGGAUUUUUUUCUUUGUAGUCAGUUUACCUCUAUCCCAGAGCAGCAAGCCCAUGUAUAGUAAUAUUAAUGGAACAAUCCAUUCUGUAUUUCUUAAUCUAGUUCAAAUCAGAAAUUUAAAGAUUUCUUGGAGCCAUAGAGGACUUCUCCUAAGAGAAAACCAAAGGGGAAAUGUAUGGAAUAUAGUGAAAUUCUCAAAUCUCCCAGCUCUACUUGUAUCAUGUACAGAGUUAAAAAAGCAGAGUUCUUGGACUCCCAUCGUGGCUCAGUAGUAAUGAACCCAACUAGUAUCCAUGAGGACACACGUUCAAUCCCUCGCUCAGUGGAUUAAGGAUCCUGCAUUGCCGUGAGCUGUGGUGUAGGUCACAGACCCAGCUUGGAUCUGGUGUUGCUAUGGCUGUGAUGUAGGCUGGCAGCUGCAGCUCCAAUUCAACCCCUAGCCUGGGAACUUACACAUGCCCUUAAAAAAAAAAAUAAAAAGAAAGAAAGAAAGAAUAGAGUUCCGAGCCCCAGCACCUCUGUGGAGAUGAUGCAACUUUGGAGAGAAACCCACAGUGUGAAAGUCAUUUCAGUGAUAUUGUUUGAACAUCAGAGAUAGGUAUGCCUUUUAUUAAUAUUGACAAACCUGACCAUAAGCUCUGUUUGAUUUAUGAGUCAUGUGCCAACACAAAAAGUUUCCCUUGAAGAAGAUAAAUGCUAUAGCUUCAUAAUGUGGAGUAGAGUUGGUUUCUUAAUAUUUAUUAGCAGUGUCCAACUUAGGGCUAAGAGGAGGGGGAAAUGUGGAGUUAUUGUUUAAUGGGUACAGAGAUUCACUUUGGGAUGAUGAAAAAGUUCUGGAGAAGGAUAAUGGUGUGGGGGUGCACGACAGUGUGAGUCUAUUUAGUGUCACUGAAUUACACAAUUAAAAAUCUCCGUAGCAAAAUGAGUAGACAAGAAAUUCUUCAUACCUAGGGAGCCACCAGAGACUCAAGUCCUAGAUGAUUCAUGGCCAGUGAUCUCUCAUAGGUCACCUCUGUAAGAGUCAGUGCAUUCAGGGACCCUCCCAUCCCCUACCCACUCCCCAACCCCAGAACCUCCAGCCUUGCAUUGUGGUACAUAACAAGUCUCUGUCUCCAAGGCAAAACAGUUAAAGUUACAGUAUCCUUGUACCAGUUUUAGCUGAACAUAUUUUAUUCCUUUUUGUGUUUCCAAAUGGGAGACCUUCUCCGACUGUCAAACUGGGCACUGUGUUUCCUGAAAGACUGUCUGUGGUAGGGGACUGGUUCCCACUUGUAGCCGGUCAGGUUGUUUGGAGUUCUUCUGCAUGUCUAGGAGGAAAAAGGCCUCCCACUUAACAUACAUUUUUGGUCUGAUUUUCCCUUGUAGUUUUUAUUUUAAAGUGGUUUUAUCUCAGGUAUUUAAUUGUGGGAUUUUGUGAAGCCCUUUGACUUACUGAAGAGGUUUAAAAAAUAGAAUUUGGAUUGUAAAAAAUGGAACUAGGUUUGUAAUUUCUGACCUUACAAAUUAUUUGCUUUUUUAAUUAAUUAAAAAAAUUAAAAAGCUCAUAAGUACAGUAUUUAAAUUUAAAUAUCCUAAAACUGAAAGGAAUCACUAAACUUAGUAUUGGGUUUAAUUCAUUUCUUCCAUGAAUAUGGAUACAGAUUUGUAGCUCUGGUUUAUAGGUAGAAUGAGGUAAAGUGAUAAAUAUAUACAGUGCUAGUAAAGCUUUACUUUAGCAAAAGGAAAACACACUGGAGAUAACUAGAAAAGAUUGGGUUUUCUUGCAAAGCCUUCAUAGAAACAUCAAGUUCAUUUGGCCUGACAGAUGACAGUGGUUUUUCUGUUUUGCAGACUGCUUUGUUCUAAAUGUUUUUUGUUUGUUUGUUUUUAUUUUGGUAGCAGAAUUGAGUCCAAUUUAGUGCAUAAUUGUGACGGUGAAGCACUUAAAUUCAGAAUUAUCUUUUCGCCUGAAUAUCUGAUUCAGAGCGGCAGUUGACAGUUUUCAUUUCCUUUGGUUAAAAGUGGUUAAAUGGAUAACUUCCAUUUUAGGGGUACCUGAAUUAUUAAAAAACAAAACAAACAAACAAGCAAACAAAACUGAAAAAUCCAACAGAGGAAUUUCAUCAUCUCAAUCUGCUUCUACUGAUUUUCAGGGCAGAAUUUUGAAUCCUGAGCUUUGGAGUCUAAACAUUAAGUAGAUAUAGAUACCAAGGAACUUCUGUCUCAUCCUGGAGGCUUGUGGGAAGUGUGAGUAGUCUUAGAAGAGAGUCUCACAUAUGCUGUUUGCCCUGUAUGCUUCUUCUCUCCUCCGGGUGGAGUGUCUUCUCCGGUUGAACCAGUGUUACAUUUCUAAUAGAAGUCACUACAUAAUUGUUAGAUAACUGGAGAAGUGUAUUAUUUCAGUAAUUUUCAAAUUCACAGAAGAAAUAGGACAUUAUAUUAUAUGAAAUAGUGCAGCUCAAGGCAACUCAUCCAUUACUAGCUGCUUUCACAUCCACAAUUCGUAAUUUACAGAGUGAUUGCAUGCACAUCAGCUCAUUGGUUUUUGAAAUGACUAUGUGCUGAGAGCCUGUUGGCAUAUAAAACAUGAUGAAGGGAUGGCUUUGUCCUCUUAACACCCGUUCUUGAUUGUCAUGAAGUGUUAGAAGUCUAUGAUACUAAUAGAAGAGGGGUUGAAUGGAGGAGUAGGAGGAAACCCAGACUAAGCUGGAGUCUCUGUAUUAACUGCAGUUGGUAUCUGGUCCCAUCCACCCAGUCUGCCAUUGGUUCUGCUGUACGGCUUCAUGAAAGACCAGGACUUGAGUUCCGACAAACUUGUGGGGAUUAAUAGUAUUGUCUCCUAAAUAUAAAAAAAAAUAAAAA
rnacentral:lncRNA from 1 species